ACUACCAGGAUUCUCCUAGUAACGGCGAGUGAACGGAGAUUAGCCCAGCACCGAAGCCUACUGUCAUUUGAUAGCAAGGCAAUGUGGUGUUUAGGUGAUCAUCUGAAGUUGCUAAAUUACUCUAAGUCCAUCAUUGAAAAUGGCUCUGAAUAUUGUCCAAAGCGGGUGGAAGACCCUUAAGAGUAAUUUGUUAGUUAUGUUAGCAGCUUUUAGAUGUGAUUACCUUGGAGUCGGAUUGCUUGAGAAUGCAGUCCAAAGUGGGUGGUAAACUCCAUCCAAGGCUAAAUACCUGCACGAGUCCGAUAGCAAACAAGUACCGUGAGGGAAAGUUGAAAAGUACUCUGAAGAGAGAGUAAAUAGUACGUGAAGCUGCUUGUAGGUAAACGGGUGGAGUCAAGCUGCAU
rnacentral:rRNA from 1 species